rnacentral:rRNA from 1 species
GACGAACGCUGGCGGCGUGCCUAAUACAUGCAAGUCGAACGAGAGCGACCGGUGCUUGCACUGGUCAAUCUAGUGGCGAACGGGUGAGUAACACGUGGGUAACCUGCCCAUCAGAGGGGGAUAACAUUCGGAAACGGAUGCUAAAACCGCAUAGGUCUUCGAACCGCAUGGUUUGAAGAGGAAAAGAGGCGCAAGCUUCUGCUGAUGGAUGGACCCGCGGUGCAUUAGCUAGUUGGUGAGGUAACGGCUCACCAAGGCCGUGAUGCAUAGCCGACCUGAGAGGGUGAUCGGCCACAUUGGGACUGAGACACGGCCCAAACUCCUACGGGAGGCAGCAGUAGGGAAUCUUCCGCAAUGGACGCAAGUCUGACGGAGCAACGCCCGCGUGAGUGAAAGAAAGGUUUUUCGGGAUUCGUAAAAACUCUGUUGUUAG